CCACACUGCAUUAGACUAACAGGUCAUCUUUAGUGCUCAAAAUAAACUUGUCCUGCAGGACCUCAUGGCCUCUGAAAUGAAAGAGGAGUUUGGCCUGACAACCGCCACGCCUACUGCCACCUAAGCAGCAGCGUCCAGCAUCUGCAGGUCUCUCAGCCGCUUGUCAUGGCUUCGCUGACAACCUCAGUCUGGAGAGGAGAGGGAACCCUGCAGGACUGUGUAUGCAGUGCAGACUUUUUUUUUUUUUUUUUUGUAAAGACAGGGUCUCGCUAUGUUUCUCAGGCCAGUGUCAAACUCCUGGCCUUAAGUGAUUCUCCCACCUCAGCCUGCCAAAGUGCUCAGAUUACAGGUGUGUGCCCAGCCACGGCGCAAACUUCUGAGGACCUACUGCCAACCAGCUAUCCUAAGAUGCUGCAGAGGGUUCCUGCAUUUAGCGAGGAUGCUGCAUGAGAUACUCUCUACCUCCUGGCUGACACUGGCCCCAUGGAAAGUGAUACCGAUAUCUAGCGAGUGUCCACAUGAGUCCGUAAAUGAGACCACAGAUCCCCACUAAAGGACCCCUGCACUAUAGCCUAGUUUUAACAGAGCCAGCAGGCUGAUCCUUCCAAAAGGUGAGUUGGGUCAUGUCAUUCCUUCGUUCCAUGUCUUGAGCAAGGUUCCCAUUUCCCUCAGCAUAAACGCCAGAGAAACCCCUCACCAAGGCUGCCUGGGCCCAUGGCUCCGGCCCCGUCCCUUGCUCCUCCUGAUUUGCCUGACACAGGCACACCCCCACCCUUGGCACUGGCCAUCUACUUAGCACGCUCUUCUCACAGAAAGCUGAAUAGUUAAUUCUCUUAUUUUUUCAAGUCUUAGCUCAAAUAGCCCCUUUUUAAUGUGGCCAAAUAAAGGUGCAGCCCACCCUGCCCACAACCGGAAGCUCGGGGCUCAGGUGCAGCCCACCCCGCCCACAACCAGGAGCUCAGGGCUCAGCCCUGCUUCUCUGCUUUCUAGGGCACUGGCUGCCCCUUUGCAGGCCCGUCUACGCCACCGCUUCCUGGUUCUGCUUCCUGCUUCCUGUCCAUUUCCCCUGC
rnacentral:lncRNA from 10 species